rfam:Botryotinia fuckeliana BcDW1 unplaced genomic scaffold Scaffold_423, whole genome shotgun sequence.
GCCCGUUUGGCUUAGCGGUAAAGCGCAUCACUAGUAAUGAUGAGAUCCUAGGUUCGAUUCCUAGAACGGGCA